rnacentral:rRNA from 1 species
UUAUGCGGCAUCGACUCUGUCGUUACCGAUGCUACCAGAAAGAUGACCAAACUUAAUCAUUUAGAGGAAGUGAAAGUCGUAACAAGGUUUCGGUAGGUGAAGCUGCGGAAGGAUCAUUA